CAGCUCUUCAAGUGGUCGGGAUAAUUAUUGGGCUUAAAGUGUCCGUAGCCGGUUUAGUAAGUUCCUGGUAAAAUCGGGUAGCUUAACUAUCUAUAUGCUAGGAAUACUACUAUACUAGAGGGCGGGAGAGGUCUGAGGUACUACAGGGGUAGGGGUGAAAUCUUAUAAUCCUUGUAGGACCACCAGUGGCGAAGGCGUCAGACUGGAACGCGCCUGACGGUGAGGGACGAAAGCCAGGGGAGCGAACCGGAUUAGAUACCCGAGUAGUCC
rnacentral:rRNA from 1 species